rnacentral:rRNA from 1 species
GUGGGGAAUCUUAGACAAUGGGGGAAACCCUGAUCUAGCCAUGUCGCGUGAGCGAUGAAGGCCUUAGGGUUGUAAAGCUCUUUCAGCUGGGAAGAUAAUGACUGUACCAGCAGAAGAAGCCCCGGCUAACUCCGUGCCAGCAGCCGCGGUAAUACGGAGGGGGCUAGCGUUGUUCGGAAUUACUGGGCGUAAAGCGCACGUAGGCGGAUCAGAAAGUCAGAGGUGAAAUCCCAGGGCUCAACCUUGGAACUGCCUUUGAAACUCCUGGUCUUGAGGUCGAGAGAGGUGAGUGGAAUUCCGAGUGUAGAGGUGAAAUUCGUAGAUAUUCGGAGGAACACCAGUGGCGAAGGCGGCUCACUGGCUCGAUACUGACGCUGAGGUGCGAAAGCGUGGGGAGCAAACAGGAUUAGAAACCCCAGUAGUCC